GCUAGUUCUUUUUUUUCUUUUUAGUACUAUGCUAGUUCACGGUUCGAUCGGUAUGAUUAAACGGAUCAACUAAGAUAUAUAUUUCCAGGGAAAUUACAAAGACAUAAAUUAAGAGCAUAUAUAACGGAAUCUGGUUUGAAAACAAGAUAUCUGCUUCAUCAUUUCAACAAGAAACGGUGCAGAACUAGCUAAUCAAGAAUUGAAAGCUCAAGAGAUUGGCAUCUCCCGGUAGCAGUACACAGUUAUUUCAGACGCACGCGCGCUCUGAUCACUUAAUUCCGCAGCACUGGAUGAUACACAUCGUGGUUAGCAAUAGAACAAUGGAGAGGACAUACAAGGACGACAUACGAGAUCUACAAAUUAAGUAGGUGUACAGGGCAGACGUAGAUGAGUGUUACCAGAUCUGGAAGGCAAUCGCACUGACGCUCCUUUCCUCUUGUGGGCACGCAGAUCUUACCCCCCUCCAGGCACCGACACUGCCAUGGCUGUCCUGUCCCCCCAGCCACACAUGAGAUCAUAGUACGAACACGGAGAGAGGGUAAAACGAAGGGCAAAAAACUGCAGAUCCCGGGAGUACGGAGCUCGCAUACUAGAGUAGAUCGGCCGGCCGGGAGAGUACUAGCUACUGCUCCACUACUGCAGAUUUGUUAUACGAGCCCGGCCGUCUCUCGAUCGAGCAUGCAUCUGGAAAGGCGCGCGGCUAGCCUCUAUAGCUUGCAGGCUUGCAGCGAGAUCGACGACGCGGCCGCCGUAUUAAUCAAUUCAUCACGCGCGCGGGCGAGCCUCUCUUGAUCCUUCCCCCGAGGCUCUCUCCCAGCCCCUUGGGAAACUGAGACAAGACUGGCCUGCCUGCACAAAGGGAAAGAGAGAGCAAAAGAAGGGAGAAUCCAUAUCCAUCAACGAGCGAGCAUGCGUGCAGGAGUAGAGUGGAGUAGAAUAGUCGUAGUAGCAGGCGAGCGAUGUACCUUGCUCCAAAACAGGGGUCCAAUCAUCCUCUCUCUUCCUCGAUCCGUGCGUCCAUGGAAGGGGCCGGGGCACGUACAAGAUAAGGACAAGGUCCCGCGCUCGCACGCCCGAUCUUAUCUCGUCACUGCGCGCGCCGCCCCCUGCAGCUUAGCCUGUGCCAGGUUUAUCUCAUCGAUCGCUGGAACCACACACACACAAAAAGUUAAUAAGGCUGCUAGCUCCUGUACAUGGCUCUUGUGCAAGAAAGAGAUAGGGACACAACAGGAGCAGAUAAUAUAGUCCGUGUGGCAGGGAGGAGGCUGGCGGGCUAGCCGUGUGUGCGAGAGGUGACAGAGAGAGAAGUGAGCACGCAGCAGCAGCAGCAUCAUUCGUUUUCGUGUAUGCCAUGCCAUGGCCGGCCAUGCCCGGCCGUGUCCGCCGCCGAAGGAAUAGAUGCAGUCUGGCCGCUGUGUGCUCACUCUCUUCUGUCACCCAUAGCCUUGCCACACCUGCCACAACACCCCCAUCACAAAAACAAACUCAACCAUUAGAACCACGGGAUCUCUGCCGGAGCGGAGGAAGAAGAUCAGAGGCGGCUCUCAGAUCUGUAUGUCACUGGGAUCUGCUUGGUGGUGUGGAGUGGCUAUGGCCGGAAAGAGAGAGGGGUCAGAGGGAGACUGGGAGAGGGAGGGAAAGAUAAUCGGAAUUCGAUUGAAGCUGCGUAUGUGACCGGAGCCGAUCCGGCCGAGAAGCCGCCGCGGCCGCGCGCUCGUACGGCGUACGCGCGACGGCGUGUGCAACUGGCUAUCGAGACGACGAGUCCCGCGUAUUUGAGGCGGGAGUGGGCUGAGCCCAGAGCAUUUUUUUUAGGGGUCUCGGGAGUGGGCUGAGCCCAGAGCAGAUAAGCUUACGACGACGUGGGGCCUCGGGAGCAAGGAUGGGCUGAAAAUAUGCAGAUCUUGUUGCAUUUUGACGAAUCUGUCUAUGAUCUUACCUUCGUGUUUUCUUCUGUUUAUUUAUUUUCUUGCUUGCGCUAAAAAAAAUUAUUUUCUUGCUU